GCAGUCGAGGGGCAGCAUGGUCUUAGCUUGCUAAGGCUGAUGGCGACCGGCGCACGGGUGAGUAACACGUAUCCAACCUGCCGUCUACUCUUGGCCAGCCUUCUGAAAGGAAGAUUAAUCCAGGAUGGGAUCAUGAGUUCACAUGUCCGCAUGAUUAAAGGUAUUUUCCGGUAGACGAUGGGGAUGCGUUCCAUUAGAUAGUAGGCGGGGUAACGGCCCACCUAGUCAACGAUGGAUAGGGGUUCUGAGAGGAAGGUCCCCCACAUUGGAACUGAGACACGGUCCAAACUCCUACGGGAGGCAGCAGUGAGGAAUAUUGGUCAAUGGGCGAUGGCCUGAACCAGCCAAGUAGCGUGAAGGAUGACUGCCCUAUGGGUUGUAAACUUCUUUUAUAAAGGAAUAAAGUCGGGUAUGCAUACCCGUUUGCAUGUACUUUAUGAAUAAGGAUCGGCUAACUCCGUGCCAGCAGCCGCGGUAAUACGGAGGAUCCGAGCGUUAUCCGGAUUUAUUGGGUUUAAAGGGAGCGUAGAUGGAUGUUUAAG
rnacentral:rRNA from 1 species